CGGGGAGUAGCGCAGCUUGGUAGCGCGCUUGGUUCGGGACCAAGAGGGCGGGAGUUCAAAUCUCCUCUCCCCGACCA
rnacentral:tRNA from 1 species